rnacentral:sRNA from 16 species
CGGACAGGGGGGUCUCCGCCGUCCGGCGGGGCCUGUCCAGCAGGUUGCGCGAGAGCGUGGCCGUGUGGUUGUCGCUCGGGGGUGAUCGCCG